GGAAAGAUGCCGGAGUGGUCGAUCGGGCCGCACUCGAAAUGCGGUGAACGGGUAACCGUUCCCAGAGUUCGAAUCUCUGUCUUUCCGCAA
rnacentral:tRNA from 1 species